CUACGGGCGGCUGCCGUGGGGCAUAUUGCACAAUGGGCGCAAGCCUGCUGCCGCCAUGCCGCGUGUGUGAAGAAGGCCUUCGGGUUGUAGAGCACUUUCAGCGGGGAGGAAGGCGUUAAGGUUAAUAACCUUGUCGAUUGACGUUACCCGCAGAAGAAGCACCGGCUAACUCCGUGCCAGCAGCCGCGGUAAUACGGAGGGUGCAAGCGUUAAUCGGAAUUACUGGGCGUAAAGCGCACGCAGGCGGUCUGUCAAGUCGGAUGUGAAAUCCCCGGGCUCAACCUGGGAACUGCAUUCGAAACUGGCAGGCUAGAGGCUUGUAGAGGGGGGUAGAAUUCCAGGUGUAGCGGUGAAAUGCGUAGAGAUCUGGAGGAAUACCGGUGGCGAAGGCGGCCCCCUGGACAAAGACUGACGCUCAGGUGCGAAAGCGUGGGGAGCAAACAGGAUUAGAUACCCGGGUAGUC
rnacentral:rRNA from 1 species